rnacentral:rRNA from 1 species
AUGAACGCUAGCGACGGGCCUAACACAUGCAAGUCGAGGGGCAGCACAAGGAGCAAUCUGAGGUGGCGACCGGCGCACGGGUGAGUAACACGUAUGCAACCUGCCUGUAAGCGGGGAAUAACCCGUUGAAAGACGGACUAAUACCGCAUAAUACUAAAUUACUGCAUGGUAAUUUAUUUAAACAUUUAUGGCUUACAGAUGGGCAUGCGCAUGAUUAGCUAGUUGGAGAGGUAACGGCUCCCCAAGGCAACGAUCAUUAGGGGUUCUGAGAGGAAGGUCCCCCACACUGGUACUGAGACACGGACCAGACUCCUACGGGAGGCAGCAGUGAGGAAUAUUGGUCAAUGGACGAGAGUCUGAACCAGCCAAGUCGCGUGCAGGAAGAAUGUCCCUAUGGAUUGUAAACUGCUUUUGCAGGGGAAUAAAGUGCAUCACGUGUGAUGUUUUGUAUGUACUCUGCGAAUAAGGAUCGGCUAACUCCGUGCCAGCCGCUGC